UACGUAGGGUGCAGGCGUUAAUCGGAAUUACUGGGCGUAAAGCGUGCGCAGGCGGUUUGCUAAGACAGGUGUGAAAUCCCCGGGCUUAACCUGGGAACUGCGCUUGUAACUAGCAGGCUAGAGUGUGGCAGAGGGGGGUGGAAUUCCACGUGUAGCAGUGAAAUGCGUAGAGAUGUGGAGGAACACCGAUGGCGAAGGCAGCCCCCUGGGCUAACACUGACGCUCAUGCCACGAAAGCGUGGGGAGCAAACAGG
rnacentral:rRNA from 1 species